AUCAUGUGUCAGGAACCUUUGGCCCUCCAGAUGUUGCCAUCAGCCCCAGCAAUCAUGGGAGUUGUUGUUUAGCAACAUCUGGAGGGCCAAAGGUUCCCCAUACAUGAU